ACGUGUUAUGACAGCAGCCCGGGUGAGGCCGCUGUCUUCACCCAGGCUGGUUGGAGCUGUGACUGUGGGAGGCGUCGGGGUGAUGGCGGUGGAGACUCUGUCCCCGGACUGGGAGUUCGACCGCGUUGACGACGGCUCACAGAAAAUCCAUGCUGAAGUCCAGCUUAAGAAUUAUGGGAAAUUUCUUGAGGAGUAUACCUCUCAAUUGAGAAGAAUUGAGGACGCACUGGAUGAUUCAAUUGGAGAUGUUUGGGAUUUCAAUCUUGAUCCUAUAGCAUUAAAGCUUUUGCCUUAUGAACAGUCUUCCCUUUUGGAACUCAUAAAGACGGAAAACAAGGUCUUAAACAAAGUCAUCACUGUUUAUGCUGCACUUUGUUGUGAAAUCAAGAAAUUAAAAUAUGAGGCUGAAACUAAAUUUUAUAAUGGUCUCUUGUUUUAUGGAGAAGGAACUACAGAUUCCAGCAUGGUGGAAGGUGAUUGCCAAAUUCAAAUGGGGAGAUUUAUUUCAUUCUUACAGGAACUGUCUUGUUUUGUUACGAGGUGCUAUGAAGUGGUGAUGAAUGUAGUCCAUCAGUUGGCUGCUCUCUAUAUCAGUAACAAGAUUGCACCCAAAAUUAUAGAGACAACUGGCGUUCAUUUUCAGACUAUGUAUGAGCACUUGGGAGAGCUGCUAACAGUUUUGCUUACCCUGGAUGAAAUUAUUGAUAAUCAUAUCACAUUGAAAGACCACUGGACUAUGUACAAAAGGUUACUGAAAUCUGUCCAUCACAAUCCUUCAAAAUUUGGAAUUCAGGAGGAAAAACUAAAGCCAUUUGAAAAGUUCUUGUUGAAGCUAGAAGGGCAGUUACUCGAUGGAAUGAUAUUUCAGGGCUGUAUAGAACAGCAGUUUGAUUCUCUCAAUGGAGGAGUAUCUGUGUCAAAAAAUAGCACUUUUGCUGAAGAAUUUGCACAUAGUAUUCGCUCAAUUUUUGCAAAUGUAGAAGCCAAACUUGGAGAACCUUCUGAAAUUGACCAGAGAGACAAGUAUGUAGGAAUUUGUGGACUCUUUGUACUGCACUUUCAAAUUUUUCGAACUAUUGAUAAAAAGUUCUACAAAUCUUUAUUGGACAUUUGUAAGAAGGUACCAGCCAUCACUCUAACUGCUAAUAUUAUUUGGUUUCCUGAUAAUUUUUUGAUCCAGAAAAUACCAGCAGCUGCUAAACUUCUAGACAGAAAAAGUCUUCAAGCCAUUAAAAUGUACAGAGAUACUUUCCUACAGCAGAAAGCUCAGUCACUUACCAAAGAUGUACAGUCUUAUUACGUCUUUGUGAGCUCAUGGAUGAUGAAAAUGGAAUCUAUUUUAUCUAAAGAGCAGAAAAUGGAUAAAUUUGCUGAAGAUCUCACCAAUAGAUGUAAUGUUUUUAUACAGGGCUUUUUAUAUGCAUAUAGUAUUAGUACCAUUAUUAAAACCACAAUGAAUCUCUACAUGUCCAUGCAAAAGCCAAUGACCAAAACAUCAGUUAAGGCAUUAUGCAGGCUUGUUGAACUUCUCAAGGCAAUAGAGCAUAUGUUCUAUAGGAGAAGCAUGGUUGUGGCUGAUUCAGUCUCACAUAUAACACAACACCUUCAACAUCAGGCUCUUAAUUCUAUUUCUGUGGCCAAGAAAAGAGUAAUUUCUGACAAAAAAUAUAGUGAGCAGCGUCUUGAUGUGCUCUCUGCUCUGGUUUUGGCUGAAAACACUCUAAAUGGACCAAGCACAAAGCAACGACGACUUAUUGUUUCUUUGGCACUGAGUGUUGGCACACAAAUGAAAACAUUUAAAGAUGAAGAGCUCUUUCCUCUUCAAGUAGUCAUGAAAAAGCUGGAUCUUAUCAGUGAACUUAGAGAAAGAGUCCAAACACAAUGUGACUGUUGUUUUUUAUACUGGCAUCGAGCUGUCUUCCCAAUUUAUUUAGAUGAUGUAUAUGAAAAUGCUGUGGAUGCAGCCAGAUUACAUUACAUGUUCAGUGCUUUACGUGACUGUGUGCCCGCUAUGAUGCAUGCAAGGCAUUUAGAUUCCUAUGAAAUACUUCUGGAUUGCUAUGAGAAGGAAAUUAUGGAAAUUUUAAAUGAGCAUUUGCUGGACAAGUUGUGCAAAGAAAUAGAGAAAGAUCUGCGACUUUCUGUGCAUACUCAUUUAAAGCUGGAUGACAGAAAUCCUUUCAAAGUUGGCAUGAAAGACCUGGCCCUUUUUUUCUCUCUGAAUCCAAUUCGGUUUUUCAAUCGUUUCAUUGACAUUCGAGCUUAUGUAACUCACUACCUAGACAAGACUUUCUACAAUCUAACAACAGUAGCUCUUCAUGACUGGGCCACUUACAGUGAAAUGAGAAAUUUAGCUACUCAGCGUUAUGGAUUGGUUAUGACAGAGGCACAUCUUCCUAGUCAAACUUUGGAACAGGGCCUGGAUGUCUUGGAAAUUAUGAGAAACAUUCAUAUAUUUGUGUCUCGAUACCUCUAUAAUCUCAACAAUCAAAUUUUUAUUGAACGAACAAGCAAUAACAAACAUUUGAACACUAUUAAUAUUCGGCACAUAGCUAAUUCAAUUCGAACACAUGGCACGGGAAUCAUGAAUACAACAGUUAAUUUCACCUACCAGUUUUUGAAAAAGAAGUUUUAUAUAUUUAGCCAAUUUAUGUAUGAUGAACAUAUCAAAUCCAGAUUGAUUAAAGAUAUUCGGUUUUUCAGGGAAACCAAGGACCAAAAUGAUCAUAAGUACCCUUUUGAAAGAGCAGAAAAAUUCAAUCGAGGCAUCAGAAAACUUGGAAUAACCCCAGAGGGACAAAGCUACCUCGACCAAUUCAGGCAACUCAUCAGCCAAAUUGGUAAUGCUAUGGGCUAUGUACGAAUGAUAAGAUCUGGUGGCCUUCAUUGUAGCAGCAAUGCCAUUAGAUUUGUACCUGAUCUUGAAGAUAUUGUAAAUUUUGAAGAACUAGUAAAAGAAGAAGGUCUUGCAGAAGAAACAGUAAAAGCAGCAAGGCAUUUGGAUUCAGUCCUCAGUGAUCACACACGAAAUUCUGCUGAAGGCACAGAGUAUUUCAAAAUGCUUGUAGAUGUUUUUGCUCCAGAAUUUCGAAGGCCAAAGAAUAUACAUCUCCGAAAUUUCUAUAUCAUUGUUCCCCCUCUGACCCUCAACUUUGUAGAACACUCCAUUAGUUGCAAGGAGAAACUGAAUAAAAAAAAUAAAAUUGGAGCUGCCUUUACUGAUGAUGGCUUUGCCAUGGGUGUGGCUUACAUUCUAAAGCUCUUGGAUCAGUACCAGGAAUUUGAUUCACUUCAUUGGUUCCAGUCUGUUAGAGAGAAAUACCUGAAGGAGAUAAGAGCAGUUGCUAAGCAACAGAACGUACAGUCAGCUAGUCAGGAUGAAAAACUACUACAAACCAUGAAUCUCACUCAGAAGCGACUGGAUGUUUAUCUACAGGAAUUUGAAUUGCUGUAUUUCUCACUGAGCAGUGCAAGAAUUUUCUUCAGAGCUGAUAAAACUGCAGCUGAAGAAAACCAAGAAAAGAAAGAGAAGGAAGAAGAGAUUAAAACAAGCAAUGGAGACCUGUCUGAGAGCACUGUGUCUGCAGAUCCUGUUGUCAAAUGAUAUUGAUGGUUAUUAUAUUCAAUAUAGUUCCUGUGCUAUACAAUUUCAUUCUGAGUGCUGAACAAUGCAAUCUAAGAAAAGAACUUACCACAAAGCACCUAAAAUAACAUUUGUAGUUGGGUUCUGCUGGACAGUGCUGAACCAGAAGCACCCUGAGGCAGGAACCGUCUGUCUUGCUCACUGCUGUAAGUCCAGGGUUUUUCUUCCACAAACUUUGCUCUCAAACAUUUGUUGUGUCAAUGAAAGACUGUAAGCUGCUGAUGGACAGAUAGGUGUGAGAGGCUUCACCUCCAGGAAGUUUCCAGAUGACAUCUGUCAGUGUUGCUGGGCCUUUGACCACUCAGGAAGGAGCAGGGCCUUAGAGCACACAGUAGACACUUAAGUUUGUAUCAUCUUAAUUUGAAAGAAAGGAAAUCUAGCCAACAACAGCAGGCAAAAAAACCUGAUAAGACAGCAGGAGCUACAGCAGUGAUAUUUAUUAAGAACUCCAUGUGUUACCAGUGGCUGUAGAACUAGCUGAUCGGAAGUGUUUGGUAAUUAGAACGCUUAAAAGGAAAUUCCAAACUUGGCCACCCUGCCUUGUGAGCAUCAUUUUUCUUUUUGAGCGAAAUCUUAGUAUGUGUACAGAUGUCUCCUAAGUAGUUGUUAAACCACCACGUUUAAAAUGCACCUUACCUUCUGAGCCUUAAUUAUUUCUUUUCCCAAAUUAAUAGCAUAACAUAUCUGCAAAAGACAAGAAAAGUAGUGUUUGGCAAAGGCAGCAAAGGAUAAAGAAUUUUAGAAAAAAAUGUGAUUAUGAAAGUAUCAGGUCACUGCUCACGUCAACAUAGGGACAGGGGACCUGGCUACAAGAGACUCUACACGGGGCUCUGAACAUGAGCGUCCACCUGUCUUGGUCUCCUGAUGCCAGUUUGUGUGUACAAAAAAUAUUCAAGUUAAGUGAAAACUGAAGUUAUUAAAUUGUUUAAAAUUCUUAACAGGAUACUUUUUCUUUUCUCUCAACCAUAUUUCACCACUGCAUGUUCAUAUACACAGUGGCAAACAGAUACUUCCUGAAAGGGUUGAUGCAUUUUGAUUAAUUCUAAGUAGUGAAUGUCAGCCACAAAGUUUUUCAUACUAAAGAACACUUUAGAUGUACUUUCCCGACAUCUGCUUCCUCGAUUUGCUACCUGAGAACAGACUUUCCUCAUUGUUAUUUUUGCUUUAAUUUUUUUAAAAAAGAAUAAAUUGAGGGAAACUGCUUUUAAUGUUUCCUGAUAUCUCUACUAAAAAAUACUUCAACCAUUAAAUUUCGGUUGAUAUGUAUUUUCUCCAGGGAAAUUUAACCUGUCAGUUUUCUUUCAGUUGGGCCUUCCCAGGAGGUAUUACUAGCUAAACUCCACAAUGAAGACAGGCAGAAUAGUCAGAAUAUCCAGGGAGGUGGUACAAAGUAACCCUUUAAACACCUUUGAUUUGGACUGACAUUACAGAAUCUUAAAGUGAAGAAAGUAACAAGACCUUUUCGCCUUCUGAGUUGCUUUCAAAAACAUAUGUGCUCAGAGACUCUCCACCUGUGGAUUCAGGCAUGCGGACCACAAAGCCAACCAGUCUCUUGUUUUCUUGAUGAGCAGCAAACUGAGUGACACUGGUAAGUUCAAACUACAAAAAAACAGGAACAGACUGACUAUCAAACCACAAACUGGAAUUAAAAAACAGACAAGGUCAUUCUUCAUGGAAAAAGUCAUGAAAAAUUGCACUAUUAGUGGCAUUUAAUUUGGCAACUGUAUUAAAAGUGCCUACUUUAUGGUUAAGGUGGCUACAAAGGUGAAUUAAAGAGUAAUCAUUAAAAUGAGCGUGCAUGCAGGUACUUACAUUGGCCCUUGUUACUUGAGUCUGAGGAUCUAUCAACCUGAAAUUUUAAGAGAUUCAUUAUCACAAAGUUGGAUAAAAUUAUAUUACGUGAGUUUGUAGAGGUUCAGAAUGGAAUCACACAAAUACCCUCCAAAUACGAAAAUAUAAGGCCUGGUUGAGGGUGAGGUGAGAGCUCCAUGGACCGUCCAAGGGAGCGUGUGCCGUGGUUUCUGCCUCAGCCGAACCUGUGAGGUUAGGCCUCAGGGUAUCUUUAUGAAAGACUAGCAGAGAAUUAAUUUCACAGUAUUUCAGUACUUAUCCAAAAAGGCAGCAUUAUAAUUCUCCAGAAAAUUCUGUAUAACGUGGAUGGAUCACAUUCUAUACAGCCACCUUCCCAACAUUUAUUGACUGUCAGUUUCCCUUGAAGUACUGGAUGAAUAGAUACUUAUAACAAUUUUUAUUUUUUUUAAAACAUGGGGUAGAGGUGAGAGAACAGUGAAGGGAUUUUAAAACGAUUCCCUAUCAGUUUGGAUGUAGGAGUAACUUUAAGAAGGUAUUCUAGAUACACUCUUUAACAACAUUUUAACCGUCAUCUAAUAUAAUCCAAUUGAUGUCUCUGGGAAGACUAACUGCAUGAGAGAAUUUGCUGUUACCCUAUAUACAGAUACACAUUUCUACUUUCUAACACAUGGUAUUAUAUAAGUUACUGAUUUGCUUAUUAUGCUUGAUUAUUAUUGAUUAUAUGAGUUUCGUAAGUAAAAGCAAAACAAUCAAUUUGUUAAAAAGAUGGUUAUAAUUCCAUUUAUAUGAAAUGUCCAGAACAGGCUCAUCUAUGGAGACAGCAAGAUUAGUGGUCAGUGGCUGCGUAGAGCUGAGCACGUCGCAGGGAAGGAGGGAAUGACUGCUGACAGAGAUGGGUUUUCUUUGGGGGGAUGAUAAAAAUGUUCUAAAACUGGUGAUGGCUGCAAAAAUCUGAAUGUACUAAAAACAGUGGGUGAAUUGCACAAUGGGUGAACUGCACAAUACGUAAGUUAUGUCUCAAAGCUAUUACCCACUGCCACAAAUGGUUAGUGUUUGAAAUAUAGGCAUUUAUACUUGUUAAAGCGAGGGAUUGAGAGGGCUCAGAUCCCAACCUGGCUACUUACUUUAUGAUCUUGUGCGAAUCGCCCUGACUUCUCUCAACUGCUUUGUAAAACUGGGAUAAGAACACUUCAAAAAGGUGGUUAAGAAAAUGAGAAAAUGUGUAUGGAAUUUUAAGCUACAAAGCUAAAUCAAUGUUAAAGUGAGUAUCAAUUUAAUGAUUUUUAAAAUCUACACCAUAAAUAAUUUCCCUCAAGUUGGGAUAACUUUCUUAGGUAUUUUGUAAAAUUUUUCUAUACAUGAAAACUUAAAACAUGCAUGUCAUACUUUCUGAGUAACUUUUAAAAGUUUUCUGUCUAAAUCAGGUAACCUGGAUUUGCCUCUCAAGAUCUGAUUUUCUGUGUGACUUCUAGAUUGUCUCAUAACGUGAAUUCCAGUAUACAAGUGUGUGUAUAUAUAGUGGUAAAGUACACCUGACAUAAAAUUGACCACUACUGAUAUUUAGUACAUUCACAACAUUGUACAACCAUUACCACGGUCUAGUUCCAGAACAUCCUCAUCACCUCAGAAGGAAACACCAUACCUGUUAAAGCAGCUGCUCCCCAUUCCACCUUAUUUUCACUUUUUGGCAGCUUCUCACUAACUUGCUGUCUGUUUCCACAGAUUUGCCUAUUCUGGAUAGUUCACAUAAGUGACCAUACAUAGUGGCUGUCGGGGCCUGCCUUCUUUCCCUUCAUGUAACAUGGUGAUGGCUCAUCCAUGUUGUAGCGUGUACCGGUACUUCAUUCCUUUUCAAGGCUAAUAUCCUACUGUAUGUAUAUACCAUGUUUUGUUUAUUCAUUUUUUGAUCGACAUUUGGAUUAUUUCUACCUUCUGGCUAUUGUGAAUAGUACUAUUAUAUGAACGUUUGUGUACAAGUUUUUGUUUAAAGUUUUUUUCAGUUCUUUUGGGUAUAUACUCAGAAAUGGAAUUCUGAACGUUACAGAGGAACUGCCAAAUUAUUUUGAACAGUGGCUGAACCAUCUUACGUGCCCACCAGCAAUGAGUUUCAGUUUCUCCAUAUCCUUGCUGACACCUUUUUUUUUUUACUUUCUUUUUAAAAAAUAUUUAUGGCCAUCCUAGUAGGCAUGAAGUGGUUCUGGAUUUGAUUUGCAUUUCCCUAGUGACUCAACACUGAGCAUCUUUUCAUGUGCUUGUUGGCCAUUAAUAUAUCUUUAUAUAGAAAUGUCUACUCAAGUCCUUCAUCCAUUUUUACCUGGGCUUCUUUCCUUUGUUGAUUUGUGAGAGUUCUUUAGUUUUGAUACUAGACCUUUAAUUAGAUAUAUGAAUUGCAAAUGUUUUCUCCCACUGUGGGUUGUCUUUGCACUUUGAGUAGUGUUUUCUGAUACACUACAUUUUUCACAGUGCUUUUACAUGUAUUUACUCUGAUCUUUUUGGUUGAAAUUAUAAGAACAAUUAAACAAUGCCUAUGAAAGGUUCAAGACAUACUUGGAGAAAAGCCUUAAAUAGGUUUUAUUCAUAAGAAUCUCAUUCUCAAUAGAAGCUUUAUAAUAAGUGAAGAGGACUGAUUUUUAAUAAGUGGAAGAAACUAUAUUCUGAUUUUUGCCAAAGCACUAGUUAACUUUUUGGAAACUACCAUUUAUCGAACACUUUCUACGUGCCAGUCAUGGCUGUAAAUGUUUUACAUGUAUUAAUUCACUUAUUCCUCAUGACAACUCUAUAGGGUGUGGAUAUGGUUGUUUUCAUUUUGUAGCUGAAGAAACCAAGGCAUGGAGGUUAAGUAACUUGCCCAAGUUCAUACAACUAAUAAAUGCCACAGUCAGGAAUAAGGCUCUAAAGCAGUGCUGCUGUCCCACAGAAAUUUAGUGUAAGCCUCAUAUGUAAGUAAAAAACUUCUAGCAGCCAGUUAGAAAAAAAAUGAAAUGGUGAAAUUAAUAUAUACUUUAUAGACCUAUAAUAAUACCAGCUAGACAUGUUACUAAUAUAAAAAUUAAGAUAGUGUGCAUUCUUUUGGGGAGAUAGUGUGCAAUCUUAGAAAUUUGGUAUGUGUUUUAUACUUACUACACUUCCCAAUGCAGAUAAGUUAGGUUUCAGGUACCAGAUGAAGCCACAGUAUUAGAGAGUGCAACUCUUAACAAAGCCCAUGCCGAACACAACCUGACCGUCGUCUGCUGUCAUUCAUACAGAUCUUAUUACUUGAGACCCCGAAACAUGCAGUUAAUAUGGCUUGGCUUAUUUUCGGCCCAACAAAUACUAAUCAGAUCUCCCUUGUGGUGAUCUAGUUGUCUCAGGCAAGCUUAUGGUUCUGUUUUCACUGUUAAUUAAUUUUUAUAAAUAGUAUUCUCAGAGAUGGAAACGAAAAAAAAAUCUUCCAUUUUCAAGCUCUGAGAUACAGAGUAACUCUCAUGAUGGCAUCUUUAUGCACAGUAGGGUAGGAUUCACUCACCACUAAAGAUACCAAUUUCUAAAAAACACCAGCUCUUGUCUUUUAGGGAGCAUCUUCCAUUCAUUGUAUCUUAUAAAACAAACGUAAAAAAGAGCAGAAAGAAGAGUAGCAUCUUCACUUAAUCAAACAAGUACUCUAGGAUGAACAUUCUAGAUGAGUAAACGUGCCUUAAAAGAGGAGUCAGACGAAGCUGUAAGAAAGUCUGAAAAUGAAGCUGAAUGUACCUCAGAGUCUGACUGGUGACCAUCAGAUGGGAUUCCGUCAUCCGGAAGAUGUUAUGAAUAGCCCGAGCAGCCAAUACUUGUCUCAUCGCUUCGUAAAUCACUUCAGUAGUGGUGUCUGUUUUAACUGCCAUUGAUCCCAAAAACCGAACUAUGAACAUCUGUUGCAAAAGAGAAUCUGCAAGAGAGCAUUUUCUGCUCAGGAUCACAUUGACUCCCUGCCUGCCACUCCGCACACCAGAGGCAGAUGUGCCGUCUGGGAACAGGCUGAAGACCUCAGGUUUGCCUUGCUUUCUGGAGGGAUUUCCACCCAAACGCAAAACUCAGCUUUUAUAAACCCCAAACGGACAACGCUCUGAACUGUCCACAUUUGUCUGGAACUAUUUAUUAGGCUAGAAAAGCACCUUUUUUUCUUCAUCUAUAAAAUGAAACCAAAUGAACAUCCUUCUAACACUAAAAGUUCAGGUGACUACAUCUAAGUGGCAGUAUAUGCAUCUCACCUUUUCUCUGAAAAUAAGAGCUUUUCCACCAGGCAACAGAAAAUUCAUUCAUUACUUUGGCCUCUUACAGAGGAAAAUCUAUUUGAAUACCUGACCUUGGGUCUCAUUCAGUUAAUUUACAUCAUUUAUCGCUGAAGGGCAGUGAUGAUACUCCACACACUACUGGAGCUCUCAAACUCUAUGAAUUUUUUGGUUCUGAUGAACUGACAGCACUGCCGCCCUGAUGAUGGCACAUAACCUGACAACAGCAAGCACAACUGGAAGAUCAUGAAGGUUUAAAAGAUCUUUUUUUUUCUGUAACAACAAUUCACUUAUUCACUAUCUGAAACUAAGAGGCCUACUUUUUCUUCACUUGCCCUAUUAGUAUCCUUGUCUCUAAAAAUAACUUAAGGUUUACAAAACUUAUUAGGAAAAAAUAACUGAUACAGUGUCAUAAGUGGUUACUCCCAUAUGAAGAUAGUUUUUACAAGUCUGAAAGUUCUUUGUAUAGACUGCUAACAAACUGGACCGUAUGAAAAGCCAGCUAUAUGUAAGUGGAGAGUCAGAGUUGAGGCACAGCCUAUUUUUUUUCCUUUUCCUUUUUUUAAAAAUUGAAGUAUAUAGCUGAUUUACAGCAAAGUGAUUCAGUUAUGCAUGUACAUAUCUAUCUAUAGUUCCCUGUGCUAUUCAGUAGGGCCUUGUUAUCUAUUUUACAUAUAGUAGUGUGUAUCUGUUAAUCCGAAAUUCUUAAUUUAUUCCUCCCCCCACCUUUUGUGCCUAAAGCUGUAAGGAAUGCCAGUUCUUAAAUCCUACUUUUAAAUUUAAAUGAGUGGCAUUUCAUUCUGAUGACAUUCUCAGGCUUCAGUCAUGAAGCUGUGUUAAAGUGAGGUCCUGCCAGCACCUGUAAUGACUAGAUCGCCGUGGCUAGGCACUCAGGUUCCGCUUUGUGCAGGAGCAGGCUAUGGUCAGCUCUGUUGAGUAUGUUCUUACGUAAAUCAGAACAACAAAAAUCUGAAUCUGAACUAAUACUUUUUUCAUGUUGUCUUCAAAUUAAAAAAUGAGCCAUUA